AUGUUUUAAAUUCUUUUGAGAGAAGUUGCUACAGCAAUCAUACAAUUCAGGUUUGGAAAGAUUAGGAAUAAAAAUAGAAGGGGCCAUACACAUACAAGAUCAUUCAAAGCUGUGCUGAAUGAAAUCGUAAUCGGGACGACAUUGAACUGAAAUCAUGUUCUUGUUUAGUUAUGCCAUAGAUUUGUUUGGUCUGAUUGUAGAUGAUGCCCUUUAACUUGGUACUACCUAUUUAGAAGUGUUCACGGGAAGUUUCUUCCCUGCACGCUAUAAGAUUAAAAAAUGAUCAAUUAGUUUACUUGUUUCUUGCUGUCAUUUUAAUUGAGGUGAUGCUUAAAUAAUCUAGGAUUUUUACGAUGGAUAGUGGUUUAUCUAUAGUUUGAUAGGCCCCUUUCACUUUCUCUCUACCUCAUAUCAGCCGACGCUUGAGACGGCAGGAGGGAAAGCAGGUGUGGAGGCACAGGAGGGAAGCCUCGACCACAGCCAUAGUAAAAAAGCUUUGGCAUGGAUUUGAGCAAAAGAAAGAGUCACAGGAAUAUUUGGGUCAUCUAACAUGCAGCUAGGGUUUCGGUGGAUAGAAGAUUCUUACCAAUGGUGAUAACAGGCAACAUGCAGGAAAUACAAUGGAGGGUUGCUGCCGGAGUUUGGCGUGAGUUCUUGCGAUGGCAUGGUGAGGUGAUUAAUAGUAUAGAUGCAAAUUUUUUUCUCUUUCACUAAUCCUUUGUUUUUUUAUAAGUGUGACAUAAUGCUUAUUUCUACCUCUAGAAGGAUUAUGUAAUUACUGUCAAGAAUGCUGCCAUUUGCUGAUUGCAACUAAAUGUACAGAUGAAAGACCCUUUUGUUUUAAUUCUAUUGAUGCAUCACAAGUUGGUGAAACUGAUUUGUCUAGGUGGAUGCAAAAUUACGUGAGUUUAUCCUGAAGCAAUGCUAUAUGAAAAAUCUCUACUUUCCAUAAUGACUUUUUAGCGCUUUGCUUCUAAAUAUCACCACGGGAAAUUGAUGUUCAUGGAAUCAGGAAUUCAGA